CAAAGGGCCAGUGCAAUGGUUGGAUGUACAAACAGGGGUGCGAAGUCCACCACCUCCUGCAAACAGAGCUGAAACGAGAGAGGGGAUGUAUUUAUAUUGACUCCAAAACUGCCCACAUUGGUUGCUCAGAAGGACAUUCGCUGACUGUGCUGCACUGGUUCUCACAACAGGAUGUGAAGGAAAAGACUUAGCUGCAACCACUGUAAGUCCAGUCAACCAGCCUCCUCCUCCUCCUCACUGCCUGGUUACCAGCUGUGGGAGCGUAGAGAGAACAGGAGUGACAGUCUCCCUCCAGAGAAAGUCGUACUCAUCCCCUGCAGCCCCAGGCUGGAGCAUGUUCCACACAGAUGGAAUCUUCAGGGAAUUUAGCUGCCAAAAUCGUACAAGAGACUAUUCAGCAUAUGUGAAAUGAGGUGUUUCUAAGGCUUAUAAUUUGAUCAACUAGAGGCAGUUUUUCCACAAGAACAGCAAAGCCAAACCCCUGACACAAAGUCAACCCUCCUGUCAAAUGUCAAGUUCCUGCUCCAAAGCAUGGAGGUGCUAAAGCUUCUCAACAAAAUGGGUGUGAAUUUUUUUUAA